AGUUAAUCUUCCCGAGGAAAGAAAAUAUGUAUUUAGAACAGCACGACUAAAGACUGACGAAAAAGCUUACAAUCAUCUUAUUGUUGUAUGUCGAGGGUUGCAAACUAACUUGCGAAUAGAAAGGGAAUUUGAAAGUUAUUUUCAAAAAUACAUAGUUUUGGAACACGUAGAAGAUGAUGAAAAAGAAGACAAUGAAUUUUGGAAAAGAUUGCAAAUGGCUCUUGAUUCAAGGCCGAUUACUAAUUGUGAUCCGCUAGAUAUUGUGCUUGAGGACAACAUAGAUGAAGAGGCUAAAAUCGACAACCAAUACGAACAAACCAUUACUAAUUCUAAUGGCUCAACCGACAUUGCACAAUUAAUCUAAAUAUGAAUAGAUAGGGAAAGUCCCCAAUCAAUCAGGUAAAACAAAAACAAAAGAAAAGGUAUAUCCAAAUAUAGUAAUGCUUGCAAUUUCAAAGAAGGUUAUAAGUUUCAGAAUCGUUUCUUACCUUAUUUCGUAAAAAAAUGAACACCAUGAGCAAUAUAUAAAUUUAGGCAAAAGUAAUUGACCAAUGUAAAUCUCAUAAACCGUUUUGCUGGAAGACAAUUGAACACUAAUUGAAUUGCGUAAACGAAAUCCAAAUAGAGCAGAAGUAUAAACGAGAUAUUUAAGAAAAAAAGAAAAAAAGCGUUUUCACAAACUAGGGCUCAAAAAGCAAACGCCUUGAAAAAAAGUCGGUUUACAAAACGAAGCAGGUGUAAAUAAUACCAGAAAAAAAAACAAUAGUUAAAUGUCUUGAAAUACGUUGGUGAAAAUAAUUUCAGGCGAUCAAUUAAGUUCAGAUAUUUAAAAAAGUUAUUUAAAUAAUUGAAUGAAAUUAAAUUCACAAAAAUACCAAACUCCGAGUAAAAUUCAAAAAAUUCAACGGAAAGUAUCUCAUCAAAAGCUCAAACACUAUAAUAAUAAAUAAAUGAGCUCAUCAUACCAGGAUUGAAAUAAUUAUUCAUUUAUGUCUCAUUAUUGUUUUAUUGUUUUUUCUUUCCUUAAUUAUAUCUAAAUCAGUAAAAAUAAAAACAUGUAUUUGUCACUUUGCCAAGAAAACAAACUUGGAAAACAACUACUAUGAAAUAAAAUCCAAAGUAAUUCAAACAUCUUCUAACGAGGAUGGUCUGAAUCUGAAACGUAUUUUCAAUGCUUUCUUCUCUCUAUUAGCUUUACAGGAUUGUUAUUUAUUUGAUUGAACCUUUUUACCAAUGUUGACACUACGAGUAGUUUUUUUUUACGGAUCUUGGAACAUAAGAUUAAUAUAUGAUGCUUCUUUUUUUUUUUUAGAAAAUAACCGAAAUUUUAAUUUUGUAGACAUUCUAUUCAGUAUAGAACUUGCUAUACCAUGAAACUGGAAAGAGUUGUAAAUACAGCAACAUAAUGUCACCUAAUAACAGCUCAUUUGGAUUAGUUUUUGAACAUGAGAAAGAACAAAUGUCGAUAAGUAAAUUGUUUGAAAAAUAUUUUUAUCUUACAAAAGUACCUGAGGUCAACCCCAGUUUUUGGUGGGGUUUGUAUAGCUGCUCUUUCAAAGUUUUCUAUGGUGUGUUUCGUGUAGUAUUGGCGUUGUCAGAUUAUUUUCGACUUAUGAGUUUGAAUGACCAUUUAGUAUCUUUCGCCUCUAUAUUUCUCGACCAGUGACAUGUUCCUCCCUUUUCAGAACAGUGGGCUUAUACUGUGAAUUCAUUAUUAUUCGUUGGAUACCAAUUUUCGUGGCUUUCGUGGGUACAGUUGAACUACGAAAUUAAAUGUUCUUCAGGCUGAUAUGCAGACUUAAGCAAAAUCAUGAAAUUAAAUAUCUACGAAUAUGCAAGUUUUCCUUCAUCCACGAUAAUUGUUACCCACAAAAAUAAGUGAAUCCACAGUAUAUGAAAAUUAUUGUAAAAACUGACAGAAUAUGUGUGCACUGGCUUUUAAAUGUAAUAUCAAAUGUAAACUACAAACUUCCGUAUGCAAAUUUGUACAUAGAUUGGUCUAACAUAAGUGUUGUCUUGUAAAAGAUAUAGAUUCGUUUGAUGUAUUUGAUCUAUUAACUAGAUGCUAAUGAAUGUGCUUGUUAUAAAAACUAUGGAGGAUAUUUUUUUUGAUGCACGUAAAUAAAUCAAUUUCUUUUAAAAUUGGUAGUAUUUUGUUUUUUGAAGAAUAUUUUUGAAUAAAGACAAUGUGACUUUUGAGAUCUUUGAAUUAUGAUAACUAAGAUUAUAAUUAAUGUAUUCUACGGGCAAAGUAUUGUAUAAACUAUGUUCCGAUCAUAUAAUUAGACAGACUGUUAAUAUUUGUGCAAGCCUUCCGUAAGUUUUUUUAUUUUUUUUUAGAAUACUGAUGUCUUUCUAAAGACAAGCGCAAGUUAUUUAUAGAUAGUUUGGAAGGCGGAGUUGAUGUGGUGGUGGAUUAUUGAGUUAAUUCAACUUGUUUUGAAUAUGAUUGUAUAUAAAAUGAAGUCCAGUGUAUUUAUAAGAUCAAAUAUUGUAUAUUGUCAUUGAAAACUUAUAAAUCCUUAUAACUGUGGAAUCAUUUAUUUUCGUGGAUACGACAUUUCGUGGAUAUUUAAUUUCUCUGUUUUGGCAAAGUCAGGAGCCUGUAAUUCAGUGGUUGUCGUUUGUUUAUGUGUUACAUAUUUGUUUUUCGUUAAUUUUUUUUUUUAAAUAAAUAAGGCCGUUAGUUUUCUCGUUUGAAUUGUUUUACAUUGUCUUAUCGGGGCCUUUUAUAGCUGACUAUGCGGUAUGGGCUUUUCUCAUUGUUGAAAGCCGUACGGUGACCUAUAGUUGCUAAUUUCUGUGUCAUUUUUGGUCUUUUGUGGAUAGUUGUCUUAUUGGCAAUCAUACCACAUUUUCUUUUUUAUAUUAAACAUUCCUUUUAGAAUUUUGUAUUUCGCUGAAAUUUGAAUUCGUGGUUCCCUACGUCUGUUCCCACGAAAUGCAUGCACAUUGGUAUCCAAUGAAUGUAAAUGAUUCCACAGUAUAUAUUAAUCGCACGAUAACAAUAUUUAAUUCAUGUUUUGUAGCAAUAAAAUUGAGAAAGGAAAUGGUGAAUAUGUCAAAGCGACAACCACCCGACCAAUGUAUGAUUGCACUGUAGUUUGAACAUCAAAACGAUAAAUAACAAUAAAAAUAAAGAAAUGUGCUGCUGG
rnacentral:lncRNA from 1 species